GAUGAACGCUGGCGGCGUGCCUAAUACAUGCAAGUCGAGCGAACGGACGAGAAGCUUGCUUUUCUGAUGUUAGCGGCGGACGGGUGAGUAACACGUGGAUAACCUACCUAUAAGACUGGGAUAACUUCGGGAAACCGGAGCUAAUACCGGAUAAUAUUUUGAACCGCAUGGUUCAAAAGUGAAAGACGGUCUUGCUGUCACUUAUAGAUGGAUCCGCGCUGCAUUAGCUAGUUGGUAAGGUAACGGCUUACCAAGGCAACGAUGCAUAGCCGACCUGAGAGGGUGAUCGGCCACACUGGAACUGAGACACGGUCCAGACUCCUACGGGAGGCAGCAGUAGGGAAUCUUCCGCAAUGGGCGAAAGCCUGACGGAGCAACGCCGCGUGAGUGAUGAAGGUCUUCGGAUCGUAAAACUCUGUUAUUAGGGAAGAACAUAUGUGUAAGUAACUGUGCACAUCUUGACGGUACCUAAUCAGAAAGCCACGGCUAACUACGUGCCAGCAGCCGCGGUAAUACGUAGGUGGCAAGCGUUAUCCGGAAUUAUUGGGCGUAAAGCGCGCGUAGGCGGUUUUUUAGGUCUGAUGUGAAAGCCCACGGCUCAACCGUGGAGGGUCAUUGGAAACUGGAAAACUUGAGUGCAGAAGAGGAAAGUGGAAUUCCAUGUGUAGCGGUGAAAUGCGCAGAGAUGUGGAGGAACACCAGUGGCGAAGGCGACUUUCUGGUCUGUAACUGACGCUGAUGUGCGAAAGCGUGGGGAUCAAACAGGAUUAGAUACCCUGGUAGUCCACGCCGUAAACGAUGAGUGCUAAGUGUUAGGGGGUUUCCGCCCCUUAGUGCUGCAGCUAACGCAUUAAGCACUCCGCCUGGGGAGUACGACCGCAAGGUUGAAACUCAAAGGAAUUGACGGGGGCCCGCACAAGCGGUGGAGCAUGUGGUUUAAUUCGAAGCAACGCGAAGAACCUUACCAAAUCUUGACAUCCUUUGACAACUCUAGAGAUAGAGCCUUCCCCUUCGGGGGACAAAGUGACAGGUGGUGCAUGGUUGUCGUCAGCUCGUGUCGUGAGAUGUUGGGUUAAGUCCCGCAACGAGCGCAACCCUUAAGCUUAGUUGCCAUCAUUAAGUUGGGCACUCUAAGUUGACUGCCGGUGACAAACCGGAGGAAGGUGGGGAUGACGUCAAAUCAUCAUGCCCCUUAUGAUUUGGGCUACACACGUGCUACAAUGGACAAUACAAAGGGCAGCGAAACCGCGAGGUCAAGCAAAUCCCAUAAAGUUGUUCUCAGUUCGGAUUGUAGUCUGCAACUCGACUACAUGAAGCUGGAAUCGCUAGUAAUCGUAGAUCAGCAUGCUACGGUGAAUACGUUCCCGGGUCU
rnacentral:rRNA from 1 species